rnacentral:lncRNA from 12 species
CCUGUGCCAUGUCAGGUGUUCACACAGCUUCAGCAGCGAUUCUCAUUGCCGUACUGAAAAUGGCAAGCGGCUUGAGGUCAUAACCCCUGAAUGCCAGGUCCUUUGGAAGAGGGAUAAUGUCCUUCCAGGCAGCAGCUUCCGUUUGUGAUUUCUUCUGGUGCUGAUUUUGUCUCAAUAAACAUUGGAUGCCGU